UGGGGAUUCGUCUAAUGGUAGGACAACAGACUCUGAAUCUGUAAGUCGAGGUUCGAAUCCUCGAUCCCCAGCCA
rnacentral:tRNA from 1 species